GCAGAAGGCGGAGGCUGCAGGCGCGGCUCCUGGCCACCAGACGUUCUUUGGAAGCGCGGUUCUCGUGGGUCUUGCGUGGAGGCAAGAGCCGGGUGAACCACUGAGUGGCAUUUCUGAGCAUUUGCCGGAUUUUGUCACUCUAAACCGUACUCGAUACAGUUUUUCCAAUGAAAAAAAUACCAGACUUGUUGCUGAAGACCCUGUGGGAUUGCAGACAGAAUAUGGGCCAAUACUCCUGGAGAUGGAACCUAGGAUCUUGAAUAUGCCAGGCAAACACUGUACCACUGAGCCACACCUCCAGUCCAGUGACUUAUUUCCAAAACCUAAGUCAUCAUGAGCAUCUCCCUGCACAUCAGACAGUACAAAGCCCGUGAGUCACCAGUGGAAGCCACGGAUGACGGUCUCUCUGCGAGAUGGUGGCGUUUUAAGGCAAUGCACGUCGAAUCCUUCGGCUGAGCCUUACUCCAGGGGAGCUGGAACAGAGGAUCCACAUAGGAAGCCCCAGCCUUCAGAGUGGGCAUGACAGCUGGGGCUGGAGCAGAGUGCUUUCCUAGUUUGAAUGAAGCCUUUGUUCUCAUCCCCACCUCUGAAUAAAUCAGGACUGGUGCAUAUACCUGCAAUCCCAGCAGGGGAGGUGCAGACAUGAAGGAAAGAGCUUUAAGGUCAUGGCCCAGCAAGAUGUCUCAACUGGGAAAGGCCUCUGACAAGCUGAGUUUGAUCCUGGACCCACACAGUGGACAGAGAAGACUGAGUUCCUCACCACACCCUACAACUGCUUGCAACAGUCUCUGCCCAGACAGGGGAUUCAGCAAAGAGCAGAGCCAGGCCUUGAAAUGGUAUCCCUAAGCCCUCGUGCUCAAGAAGAGAGACCCAAUAACGCCCAGAGUCUAAUACUUAUGCAAAUAAUGGGAGCUUUCAUUGAGUUGCAGCCAGGCGGGGAGCUGCACAUCUUUAAUCCCAACUUCGGGAGGCGGAGGCAGAAGAAUCAGCGUCUUUGUCCAUUAGAAUCUCACCUCCAGGAGAGAGAGACCUGCUAUGAUCUUCUCACUUACUUCCUG
ensembl:lncRNA